GAAUAUGAUGAUUAUUGUCAUCGCCCUAGUUUUACAAGCAUAUCUAGAUGUUUGAUGGUAAUCAACACUUCAUUCUUAUUUGAUUC